GUCGCUUUAGCUCACUUGGGAGAGCGCCAGCCUGAAGCAAUCAGCUUAACAACUGCAAACUUCGGGUUCACAACGAAUGCCAGCUGGAGGUACUGUGUUCGAUCCACAGAAGCGACA